AUCACUACCUAAUUAUCAAACCAUCUCAUUCAACUUUGAGCAAAAGUAAAAGGGAUUGAAGAAGAUGGAUGAAGAAAUCACUCUUCCUUCACGUAAAUCUUCGUGGCCGGAACUCGUAUUCAUCGAAUCCUCCAUUGCAGUUCGUCUUAUAAAGAAAGAUAAUCCUGAUGUAAAGACAAUCGUGCUAUUAGCUGGGACUGGAGGGACUAAAGAUUUCAGACACGAUCGAGUUCGAAUUUUUGUUAAUAUAAAUGAUAAAGUCGUUGAAGUUCCUCAAAUUGGUUGAAAUAAUUUGAAUAUCUAUAUUUGUUUGGUGAUUAAAUAAGGUAGAACCUACCUUUCCACCCUAAUAUUUGAUUUAUAUGUAUGGUUUAUUUGAAUGUUUGUGUGGCAUUUAAAUAUUUGUCUGCUCAUGGAGCAACUAUUGGAGCAACUUUUCUUUUAAUGGCUUAAAGCUUUAAUUUCAACCGGAAUAAUUCCAAUUCAUCUAGUAUUCCAUUACAAAUAGUAAUGUUAUCUUUGUCAUUAAAAAUAAAUUAUCUA